AUCACUUUUAUCAGUUAAUUUUCCUAGAAAACUCCAAAAGCAUAUGAUUAGGUCUCACCUUUCAUCAAAGCAAAAAAGAAUACUAAAUACCAUAGAAGUUUAAGUCGGAGCCCUCACUCUCACAGCAUCAAAGAGUAGAAAAAAGAAUUAUAUUGUUCUCAAAAAGGAAAAGGGAUGGACUGCCUCCUUCCUCUUCCAAUCAUUUGGAUUUAUUUAUAAAGGAAAUAGGCCAGUCACUAGAUCCUUAUCCUUGAAUUAAUUGUCAACAUUCAUACAAACAACAGAAUGAUCAUGACAAUAUAUACAUGCCUCAUUCGACGGCUCUGACUUGAUACUUGAAGAAUAUGUUGUAAGUUUCAGAAGCAAAAGAAGUCCAAAUGACAAAGUUCUAACUGGUUUUAGGAGUCUUGAUUUCACAGCAAAGUGGAUAGCAUUCUCAAAAAAUUUUGAAUAUCAUUCUGACCACUGAAAGACAUGUUAGCUUCAUUAUAACCAUAAUGACGAAUGAUGAUAACAAAUUAAUGCUAUUGUAGGUCAGACACGAGGCGUUGUAUGCGAAUCAGUGGGCCAGGGUAUGCACUAACAAAAUUUUGAGGGAAUGGAAAAUAUUGGCUCUAAGUUACGAACUCUAAUGAGCUAAGAGAUCAUGUAAAGAAAAAGGAAGAAACAAUACUGGCUUUUAUCCUUUAAAAGUAGGAAAAUUUCAUGGAAAAAUAUCAUGCCUCGUUCAAACAUUUGGAUACAUUUCUUGAUAUGUUGUCCACUGGAAUUCAUAAAAUGCAUUUCCCACAAACAUACUCCUAUGUCUAAACAACUAGCAAUGUACAAGCAUUUCAAGUCCAAUUCUCAUGAUAGAGCCAAAACAAAGAUAUCUAUCAGAAGUAAUUAUUUCAUCUAUUUCAUGUGAUGGAAAUGACAAUAGCACAAAUGUAGAGGAUUAAGCAAUGAUACAAAAUACAAUUUCUACAAGCAUACCAUGCAAAAGGUACUCUGGGGCA
rnacentral:misc_RNA from 1 species